AGAGUUUGAUCCUGGCUCAGGAUGAACGCUGGCGGCGUGCCUAACACAUGCAAGUCGAGCGAAGCACUUUACUUUGAGAUCUUCGGAAGGAUAAGUUUAGUGACUGAGCGGCGGACGGGUGAGUAACGCGUGGGUAACCUGCCUCACACAGGGGGAUAACAGUUAGAAAUGACUGCUAAUACCGCAUAAGACCACAGCACCGCAUGGUGCAGGGGUAAAAACUCCGCGG
rnacentral:rRNA from 1 species